rnacentral:rRNA from 1 species
UGCUUUAGCCUCAGGUCCUUGCUUAAUUCCUGGCCAUGCAGCUUGGACUGCAAUUUCCUCUAGUCCCGGAACUGAAGCAGGGUUGGGCCAACUCUGUACUUGGAUGGAAGACCUCAGAGUGGCUGGGUGCUGCAGGAC